GUGGGGAAUAUUGCACAAUGGGCGCAAGCCUGAUGCAGCCAUGCCGCGUGUGUGAAGAAGGCCUUCGGGUUGUAAAGCACUUUCAGCGAGGAGGAAGGCAUUAAGGUUAAUAACCUUAGUGAUUGACGUUACUCGCAGAAGAAGCACCGGCUAACUCCGUGCCAGCAGCCGCGGUAAUACGGAGGGUGCAAGCGUUAAUCGGAAUUACUGGGCGUAAAGCGCACGCAGGCGGUUUGUUAAGUCAGAUGUGAAAUCCCCGAGCUUAACUUGGGAACUGCAUUUGAAACUGGCAAGCUAGAGUCUUGUAGAGGGGGGUAGAAUUCCAGGUGUAGCGGUGAAAUGCGUAGAGAUCUGGAGGAAUACCGGUGGCGAAGGCGGCCCCCCUGGACAAAGACUGACGCUCAGGUGCGA
rnacentral:rRNA from 1 species